rnacentral:rRNA from 1 species
CCCCAGUAAACGGCGGCCGUAACUAUAACGGUCCUAAGGUAGCGAAAUUCCUUGUCGGGUAAGUUCCGACCUGCACGAAUGGCGUAAUGAUGGCCAGGCUGUCUCCACCCGAGACUCAGUGAAAUUGAACUCGCUGUGAAGAUGCAGUGUACCCGCGGCAAGACGGAAAGACCCCGUGAACCUUUACUAUAGCUUGACACUGAACAUUGAGCCUUGAUGUGUAGGAUAGGUGGGAGACUAUGAAGUGUGGACGCCAGUCUGCAUGGAGUCAACCUUGAAAUACCACCCUUUAACGUUUGAUGUUCUAACCUAGGGUCCAUAAUCUGGAUCGGGGACCGUGUCUGGUGGGUAGUUUGACUGGGGCGGUCUCCUCCUAAAGAGUAACGGAGGAGCACGAAGGUUGGCUAAGCAU